rnacentral:pre_miRNA from 1 species
UUAACUCAUAUUUGUAUGAAUUAGAAUCGUUUGCCUGCGUUUGCCGCUAGGGGCGCUGUUCCAAAUGCAUACAAAUUUGAGUUA